AUAACAAACUAAAUUGUAUCUAUGGGAAAAACAACUGAACUAGAAAUAAACAAUCCAUAAUAAAAAAGUGGUUUGCGUUGGGCAGAGCUUUUUAGCAAAGGACUAAAAAAAUUUAAUGGUGACGAAAACAACAGUCGUGGAAAAAUCUCAAUUUAAAAGUAUUCCUAAACUGCGGGUAGUACUGAACAGACGCAGCAAAUGAUCUGAAAAUUUGUUACUAAAAAGUGAACAGUGGAACAUAAGGUACUCCGUAGAACGACAACAGCCUCUAAUUGGAACCACCUUGAAGCCCGCCUUGUUGGCCACCGUUGCUGAAGCGGAGAAUAUUACGACACUGAGGAACAGUCAAAUAUGGGAAUGAGUAUCAUAGAGGAAAGUCGAAUAAUAUUCCACCAGCACAAUGCAGAACUACGCACUGGAUCGAGUUCGAUUACCAGCGGUGUACCGAUUCACAAUCGCAUUACCCCUUCGGGUUGAAAUAAAUCCAUUUUUGGUUCGGAAGGUCACAUGGAAUAUUUUAUGUCAAACAGUGAACAUAGUAAAGCUAGGGGAUUUAAAUUGACAAGAACUUCGCAGCAUACUGUCGCGCCUGCUGGAUCCCGUACGGAGUACGGACGAGUGGAAUGCAAAAGAAGGAAACUCCAGCAAUUACAUGAUUUCCAACAGUGUUAUUUGACCGCCAUUAAUGAUAUAUAUAAAUAUUAAUGUUAACUUGAAUGCGAUGAACGAGUGCAACUCGCACAAAUGCGACGUCUGCCCUACGUCCAAGUUCGACCUGACAGAUUCGUAUUUUUCUAUAUUAUGAUCGAGACACUGAUAAAGUGUAACCUAUUGGGAUGAUUUGUCGCAGCGGUCGAAUCGCUUACCAAUGAAUUCAAAUUGACCGAAGAAAACUAAUUCCAAAAUUAUUAAUUACUUACGGGAUCUGACAACUGCCCAAGCUAGACCUGAACGAGAGCGAAACCAACGAUAUGAUCGAGACCAACGUGACCUAUCGGAUCCAUUUUGAGAACCAACUAACUCGCCGAUAGUCCAACAACGACAGCCAAAUCAGGAACGAUAAUGCGUAGGAACCGGUUGAAUGUGACGAGUUCAAAAUAGAACAACGAAACUGACUAGUGAUGCCGGUGACACAGAGGAUCCUCCAUGGUGCAUGAAAAAUCUCCGAGUACUCUAUUGUCAGUUUAUCGUGAUAACAGUCGCCUUGU